GUGGUAGAAGUCCCUGUCGGGGUCGAGCGAGAGUGCGAACAUGUGCGCGUGUGCAUAAGCGGUGUGCUUUCGCGAAUGCAUCUCGAGUAACAUCUCUGCGUAGCGCGAAAAGAAAUAUGUGAGACAUUGAGGCGACAUCGUGUGAUAUAGGAAACAACGACGACGAGAACGACGACGGACGUAGAGGACGACGCGUUAUCAGCGUCUUGACUGUCGCCACUGAUUUGGCCAGGGUUCGCGGAGAAAAGUGGCGCGAGAGGGUGGACGGGAGUGUAGGAGAUUGUGAGAGGCACCGGCGAGAGCUGCUGGUGCACACAAUCAGGAUGCGACCGAGGAGUGAUACGGUUACAUCGAUUGUAUAUCAAGAUCCUCGAAGACAUAACUUCAGUAUCGAGGACUCAUUUGCCUAAGGAUUUUAAACACGUUCCUUUCCAAGGGUGUGGAGUAGCCUUAGAAACAUACGUAACCAAGAAGACAACCGUGCGGAAGCCGAAGUGUACAAGCUUCUGGGAAGGUCCAGUACCUGAUAGCGGAAAGAUCGCGAAAAGAGUGAAGGGUAAAAGCAUCUAAGGGCGGG